AAUAUUGCACAAUGGGCGCAACCCUGAUCCAGCCAUCCCGCGUGUAUGAUUAAGUCCUUCCGGUUGUAAAGUACUUUUGGCAGCGCAGAAAAGGUAUCUCCUAAUACGAGAUACUGCUGACGGUAUCUGCAGCACAAGCACCGGCUAACUACUUGCCAGCAGCCGCGGUAAUACGUAGGGUGCAAGCGUUAAUCGGAAUUACUGGGCGUAAAGCGUGUGUAGGAGGUUCGGAAAGAAAGAUGUGAAAUCCCAGGGCUCAACCUUGGAACUGCAUUUUUAACUGCCGAGCUAGGGUAUGUCAGAGGGGGGUAGAAUUCCACGUGUAGCAGUGAAAUGCGUAGAUAUGUGGAGGAAUACCGAUGGCGAAGGCAGCCCCCUGGGAUAAUACUGACGCUCAGACACGAAAGCGUGGGGAGCAAACA
rnacentral:rRNA from 1 species